AAGUCGUAACAAGGUUUCCGUAGGUGAACCUGCGGAAGGAUCAUUAACACGUAUCCAACGUUAAAAACCCCGUGAACCUUUAAAACGCUGUGUCCCAGGACUAAAUCCAGUGGCCUUAGCAAUCCCUGUACUCGUGGGAGAAAUGUAAUGAGAAGGGACUUCUGAGGUUGGCUUUCUGGUUUCAGACCGCGUCGUAGUGACUUUUUUUCCCCAAGCAAUCCGUGAGUGAAAGUGUCAUUGGUUGCGUAAGGAUUUCGCCUAGCGAUCACUAGAGGUCGAUCACCGACCGGUGGACUAAGUCACAGGGCUUCGGCUCCCUAAUAACCCCCAUUCAAUUUGCCGCUCCGCGCUAACAACGCCGGGCACUUAAAAACGUACUAAACAACUGUUAACAAUGGAUAUCUUGGUUCUC
rnacentral:misc_RNA from 1 species